GUAUACAGUGGAGAAAUGAUCACUCUCAGCUGUGAGAUCCAAGGAGGAGACACUGAGUGGGAGUAUGAAUGGAGAACUACAAGCUCACAUAAACCAUCAAACCAAAGUGAACUCAGAGUAGAUUUUGCUUCUUCAUCUAACACUGGACACUACAAGUGUAGAGGCAGAAGCAAAAGUGCACAACAUCAUUUAACAGAGUGGAGUGUUCCUUUAAAUUUGACAGCAUCACACAAUAAACCCCGUCCUGUCCUCACUGUGUCUCCAUCAUGGCUGAGUCCUGGAGCCUCAGUAACUCUGAACUGUGAGGUUGAACAUCCGUCUGCAGGAUGGAGCUUCUACUGGUAUAAAGCUGUUCCUGAUCUAUCAGAGAAAUCUUACAGUUAUGAGCUGCUACCUGAUGGCAGUGGGACUGCACAGGACUCCUACAUCAUUCAUGAACAGACACACACAGCAGGAUAUGUGUGCAGAGCUGGAAGAGGA